UUAAUUAAAACCAAAAAGAGGUAUAUCACUGUUAAUGAUAUCAUUGGGCAACCCCCUAAUUAAA
rnacentral:tRNA from 1 species